CAGUAGCCGCGGUAAUACGUAGGUCCCGAGCGUUGUCCGGAUUUAUUGGGCGUAAAACGAGCGCAGGCGGUUAGAUAAGUCUGAAGUUAAAGGCUGUGGCUUAACCAUAGUACGCUUUGGAAACUGUUUAACUUGAGUGCAAGAGGGGAGAGUGGAAUUCCAUGUGUAGCGGUGAAAUGCGUAGAUAUAUGGAGGAACACCGGUGGCGAAAGUGGCUCUCUGGCUUGUAACUGACGCUGAGGCUCGAAAGCGUGGGGAGCAAACAGGAUUAGAUACCCCCGUAGUCCCUGUCUCUUAUACA
rnacentral:rRNA from 1 species